AUUGAACGCUGGCGGCAGGCCUAACACAUGCAAGUCGAGCGAGCGGCGGAAGGGUGAGUAAUGUCUGGGAAACUGCCUGAUGGAGGGGGAUAACUACUGGAAACGGUAGCUAAUACCGCAUACCAUCAGAUGUGCCCAGAUGGGAUUAGCUCGUAGGUGGGGUAACGGCGCACCUAGGCGACGAUCCCUAGCUGGUCUGAGAGGAUGACCAGCAACACUGGAACUGAGACACGGUCCAGACUCCUACGGGAGGCAGCAGUGGGGAAUAUUGCGCAAUGGGCGCAAGACGGAAGCAGCCAUGCCGCGUGAAUGAAGAAGGCCUUCGGGUCGUAAAGUACUUUCAGCGGGGAGGCGUUACCCGCAGAAGAAGCACCGGCUAAGUCCGUGCCAGCAGCCGCGGUAAUUC
rnacentral:rRNA from 1 species